GACGAACGCUGGCGGCGUGCCUAAUACAUGCAAGUCGAACGCUGAAGGAGGAGCUUGCUUCUCUGGAUGAGUUGCGAACGGGUGAGUAACGCGUAGGUAACCUGCCUGGUAGCGGGGGAUAACUAUUGGAAACGAUAGCUAAUACCGCAUAAGAGUAGAUGUUGCAUGACAUUUGCUUAAAAGGUGCAAUUGCAUCACUACCAGAUGGACCUGCGUUGUAUUAGCUAGUUGGUGGGGUAACGGCUCACCAAGGCGACGAUACAUAGCCGACCUGAGAGGGUGAUCGGCCACACUGGGACUGAGACACGGCCCAGACUCCUACGGGAGGCAGCAGUAGGGAAUCUUCGGCAAUGGACGGAAGUCUGACCGAGCAACGCCGCGUGAGUGAAGAAGGGUUUCGGAUCGUAAAGCUCUGUUGUAAGAGAAGAACGAGUGUGAGAGUGGAAAGUUCACACUGUGACGGUAUCUUACCAGAAAGGGACGGCUAACUACGUG
rnacentral:rRNA from 1 species